AGUCCUCUCUCUGUAGCCAUGUCCACUGCCCGAUGAAGAUGAGGUUCCUUGAGUGUCCUCCGGAUCUCGGAGAGGAAGGUUACGUAGAUGAAGCAGACAGAUUCUACAACAACCCUCUUUACUGGCUCAGGACUUCAUUUCCAUACAAAUCUUCUCUACCAACCCAUCUAGUUCUGUUCAAUGUUUUGGAGAAGGAAAUCUCAGUGUUUUUACAAGGGAAUAACUUCACCAGGACAGCAGAGAUAUUUCACACUCAUGUUCCCGAGGGAAGAGUUGGAGGAAGCAUUUUUAUUUAUGAGAGGCACUGAACACAAACACUGGAACAAAGUUUUAUUUUUGUAAUGAGAAUGUCACAUGAUAUCGCAGCUGAAUUAAAUGUUUUACACUCAAAUGUUGGUUUGAAUGAACAAUUACCACAUGUAUCCAAUGUAUUAUUUUUUUGUUGGUGUGACAUAUUUUCCAGUCAUUUUUCCAACAGAUGUAAAUAAAACAAACAAGACUUACAGGUCCAGUUAAAAUAAGCUUUAAGUGGAAUGUUAGAAAUAUUAACUCUGAAAGGAAAUUACACCCUUGUCAUACAAACAUGUCUUUGUAGCAGUAAUUUGAAAGAAAGUUUUGUUCAAACAACAUUUUUCUCUUUAAAAUUGUGUGUAAUUUGAAAAACAAUUGCUGUGGUUGAAGAUCAGUGGUUUAUAAGCAAGAAAUCUUCAUCAGGUCCCAAAUUAACUGGCCAAAAACAGUGCAUUACUUUCACAUUUGUAAAAUAUGAAAUAAUUCUGUGUAAUUAUGUCACAUUUUUGCAUGUUUAGCUGACUUCCAACCAAAAGACUUUCCACGUCGGUCGAGCUAUUGAUGAAAAUAAUAAAUAAAAGUGUACUCAAUUCAA